UUCUAAUAUCCCUAAUAUCAGCUAAAUAGCUCAGCAAAUCCCUCGUUAUCCCUUCAAAAGACUGACCUAAUGUUUUCCUCAAUCAAAUUUUAUGUAUCACGCCUCUUUAUGUGACCUAUACACAAAACCCCUCUUCUACAACAACCCACAAUGCUAAAAAAGAGCACCCUCCUUGCCCUUUCCACCCGCAGCUAUACAGAGAUAGGAGCAAGGCAAUUAAUCACAUAAAAAUUCUAAGCAAUGAGAAUACCAUCUAACCCCUGAAAGAGUAGCCCAACAUCAUCCAAAAGUCUUCAGCUGAUAGCUUUCAAACAAGGAAGAAGAGAAAGGAGAGAGCAGCUUUAGCAGCAGCCUCUGAUCCUUACCGUUAUGUUGAGAAGACAAAGCCUGUUCCUGAUCCUCAGGACAGAGGUUUGAUAUAUGGAAACAGAGGGGAAAACGAGAAACCCGAUAAUUGAUUCAUCUAAAUCUGGAAAUAGAUGUCGGAUAAGGAAACAUAGCUUUUAGAAGCAGUGCCCAAUGAGGUUCCUUUGUCGUUGUAGACACGAUGCAAGAACCUCGCGGUGCUAUGAACUCUGAUCUUAUAACAUCCAGAACGAGAGGAACACUUUUGUUUUGACAUAACUGUAAGCAAAUGUAUACAACUCUUUCAAUAAUUUGAUUGACAAGGAUGUAGAAAGAAAUAAAAACCAACUCGUUGU